rnacentral:rRNA from 1 species
GACAGAGGGUGCAAACGUUGUUCGGAAUUACUGGGCGUAAAGCGAGUGUAGGCGGUCUGCUAAGUCGGGUGUGAAAGCCCCGGGCUCAACCCGGGAAGUGCACUCGAAACUGGCAGGCUAGAGUACUGGAGAGGUUGGUGGAAUUCUCGGUGUAGAGGUGAAAUUCGUAGAUAUCGAGAGGAACACCGGUGGCGAAGGCGGCAUCCUGGACCGGCAUUGACGCUGAGGCGCGAAAGCUAGGGGAGCAAACGGG